GAUGAAAACGCAGUGAAAUGCGAUACGUAGUGUGAAUUGCAGAAUUCCGUGAAUCAUCGAAUCUUUGAACGCACAUUGCGCCCCUCGGUAUUCCGUGGGGCAUGCCUGUUCGAGCGUCAUUUAACCCCUCAAGCCUAGCUUGGUAUUGGGUGCUUGUCCCGCCUCUCGCGCGGCGACUCACCUCAAAGUCAUUGGCAGCCCGCAUCUCGCCGGCCGUGAGCGCAGCACAGACGCGCUCUUGGCAACGACGGAUCGGCUCUCCAAAAGCUUAUUUCAACCACUGACCUCGGAUCAGGUAGGGAUACCCGCUGAACUUAAGCAUAUCAAUAAGCGGAGGA
rnacentral:misc_RNA from 1 species